rnacentral:rRNA from 1 species
AUUGAACGCUGGCGGCAGGCCUAACACAUGCAAGUCGAACGGUAACAGGAAGCAGCUUGCUGCUUUGCUGACGAAUGGCGGACGGGUGAGUAAUGUCUGGGAAACUGCCCGAUGGAGGGGGAUAACUACUGGAAACGGUAGCUAAUACCGCAUAACGUCGCAAGACCAAAGAGGGGGACCUUAGGGCCUCUUGCCAUCGGAUGUGCCCAGAUGGGAUUAGCUAGUAGGUGGGGUAACGGCUCACCUAGGCGACGAUCCCUAGCUGGUCUGAGAGGAUGACCAGCCACACUGGAACUGAGACACGGUCCAGACUCCUACGGGAGGCAGCAGUGGGGAAUAUUGCACAAUGGGCGCAAGCCUGAUGCAGCCAUGCCGCGUGUAUGAAGAAGGCCUUCGGGUUGUAAAGUACUUUCAGCGGGGAGGAAGGGAGUAAAGUUAAUACCUUUGCUCAUUGACGUUACCCGCAGAAGAAGCACCGGCUAACUCCGUG